AACGAACGCUGGCGGCAUGCCUAACACAUGCAAGUCGAACGAGACCUUCGGGUCUAGUGGCGCACGGGGGCGUAACGCGGGGGAACCUGCCCUUAGGUUCGGAAUAACUCCCCGAAAGGGGUGCUAAUACCGGAUAAUGUCUUCGGACCAAAGAUUUAUCGCCUUGGGAUGGGCCCGCGUUGGAUUAGCUAGUUGGUAGGGUAAAAGCCUGCCAAGGCGACGAUCCAUAGCUGGUCGGAGAGGAUGAUCAGCCACACUGGGACUGAGACACGGCCCAGACUCCUACGGGAGGCAGCAGUGGGGAAUAUUGGACAAUGGGCGAAAGCCUGAUACAGCCAUGCCGCGUGAGUGAUGAAGGCCUUAGGGUUGUAAAGCUCUUUUAGCCGGGAUGAUAAUGACAGUACCGGGAGAAUAAGCACCGGCUAACUCCGUG
rnacentral:rRNA from 1 species